rnacentral:rRNA from 1 species
UGCAUGAGAAUCUGCCUGGCAGAGGGGGAUAACCCGGGGAAACUCGGGCUAAUACCGCAUACGCCCUACGGGGGAAAGGGGGCUGAGAGGCUCUCGUUGUCAGAUGAGCUCAUGUCCGAUUAGCUAGUUGGUGGGGUAAGGGCCUACCAAGGCGACGAUCGGUAGCUGNNCUGAGAGGAUGGCCAGCCACACUGGGACUGAGACACGGCCCAGACUCCUACCNGAGGCAGCAGUGGGGAAUAUUGGACAAUGGGCGCAAGCCUGAUCCAGCGAUGCCGCGUGGGUGAAGACGGCCUGCGGGUUGUAAAGCCCUUUCGAUGGGGAAGAAAGGCCAGCGGUGAAGAGCUGCGGGUGUUGACGUUACCCAUAGAAGAAGCACCGGCUAACUCCGUGCUAGCAGCCGCGGUAAUACGGAGGGUGCGAGCGUUAAUCGGAAUUACUGGGCGUAAAGCGCACGUAGGCG